rnacentral:rRNA from 1 species
UUCCCCUAGUAACGGCGAGUGAAGCGGGAUGAGCUCAAAUUUAAAAUCUGGCAGUCUUUGGCUGCCCGAGUUGUAAUCUAGAGAAGUGUUUUCUGUGCUGGACUGUGUUCAAGUUUCCUGGAUAUGGAACAUCAUAGAGGGUGAGAAUCCCGUCCUUGACACAGACUCCCCAGUGCUAUGUGAUGCACUCUCAACGAGUCGAGUUGUUUGGGAUUGCAGCUCAAAAUGGGAGGUAAAUUCCUUCUAAAGCUAAAUAUUGGCGAGAGACCGAUAGCGAACAAGUACCGUGAGGGAAAGAUGAAAAGCACUUUGGAAAGAGAGUUAAACAGUACGUGAAAUUGUUAAAAGGGAAACAAUUGAAGUCAGUCGCAUCUACUUGGACUCAGCCUUACCUUGGUUUGGUGCAUUUCCUUGUGGAUGGGCCAGUGUUCAUGUUGAUUGCUGGAAAAGGGGCUAGGGAAUGUGGCUCUUUUGGGAGUGUUAUAGCCUUGGCUCAUAUACAGUGAUUAAUAUGGAGUGGUACAGCAUGCUUCGGUGGUGCUUGUGCUGGCAUAAUGGCUUUAAAUGACCCGUCUUGAAACACGGACCAAGGAGUCUAACAUGUCUGCAAGUAUUUGGGUGAUAAACCCGAGUGCGUAAUGAAAGUGAUAGCUGGGAACCCUGCAAAGGGGGCACCAGUGCCCCGAGCGGAUCUUCUGUGAUGCAUCGGAGGUAGAGCAUAUAUGUUGGGACCCGAAAGAUGGUGAACUAUGCCUGAAUAGGGUGAAGCCAGAGGAAACUCUGGUGGAGGCUCGUAGCGAUUCUGACGUGCAAAUCGAUCGUCAAAUUUGGGUAUAGGGGCGAAAGACUAAUCGAACCAU